rnacentral:rRNA from 1 species
AGCGGCGGACGGGUGAGUAACGCGUGGGUAACCGUGCCUCAUACAGGGGGAUAACAGUUGGAAACGGCUGCUAAUACCGCAUAAGCGCACAGUACCGCAUGGUACCGUGUGAAAAACUCCGGUGGUAUGAGAUGGACCCGCGUCUGAUUAGCUAGUUGGUGGGGUAACGGCCUACCAAGCCGACGAUCAGUAGCCGACCUGAGAGGGUGACCGGCCACAUUGGGACUGAGACACGGCCCAA